CGUCUUAUUGUGACUGGCUCCUCGUCCUAUUUAGAUACUAUCCAGUUCCUGUUAUCAGUUAGGUUUCGAGCACUAAAUGUGGACUCCGCCUCCGAGAUUCUCUUGUGCUCUCGGAGAUCUGCAUUGGACCCAAUAAAAGUUAUUAGAGCAGU